rnacentral:lncRNA from 1 species
UUUAAUCGAUUAGAGCUUUCUUUUAAUCGAUUGUGGAAGGAGUUUUAUCCCACUCUAUUUAUCAAGCCAAUUUAUCGUUUAAGGAGAGAGCUUGGCUUAGGGUUUCCUAUUUUGGGAAAGUCUAAUCGAUUAGCAAUGUAGCUUGGUCGAUUAGAGAGUGUCCUAGCCCAUGGAUUGUUUCCCUUUUUUAGCUAAAAUAUUUUCCUAUAUAAAGGAGUUAUGUUCUCACUUCUAAAGCACAAAUAUUGUAAACUUAA